AUUGAACGCUGGCGGCAGGCCUAACACAUGCCAGUCGAACGAGUGGCGGACGGGUGAGUAAUUUCUGGGAAACUGCCUGAUGGAGGGGGCUAACUACUGGAAACGGUAGCUAAUACCGCAUACUAUCAGAUGAGCCUAGGUCGGAUUAGCUAGUUGGUGGGGUAAAGGCCUACCAGGGCGACGAUCCGUAACUGGUCUGAGAGGAUGAACAGUCACACUGGAACUGAGACACGGUCCAGACUCCUACGGGAGGCAGCAGUGGGGAAUAUUGGACAAUGGGAGAAAGCCUGAUCCAGCCAUGCAGCGUGUGUGAAGAAGGUCUUCGGAUUGUAAAGCACUUUAAGUUGGGAGGCGUUACCCGCAGAAGAAGCACCGGCUAACUCCGUGCCAGCAGCCGCGGUAAUUC
rnacentral:rRNA from 1 species